UCUGGUAAUGAUGGCAGAGAGGCCACACCCGUUCCCAUACCGAACACGGAAGUUAAGCUCUCUAGCGCCGAUGGUAGUUGGGACC
rnacentral:rRNA from 1 species